rnacentral:rRNA from 1 species
GUCUAGGGACGUAUCACCCAGAGUGCACCCAAUCUCCUCUGAUCUUGGUAGCUAAAGGUUGGGCGUAGUUAGAGCAUUUCUCUUUAAAUA